AUUUAACUGGGUAAAAUUGAGCGCGUUAAUCAAAUAUUCUUACCAAAUGUCAAAUUUAUUUUCUUAUCUUUUCUGGUAGCAUUGCUUAUUAGUUUUGCGUAUUUUUCAUGAUUACAAAUAUUUUAAUGCAAUUGUUUUAACUCUAUUAUCUAAUAUUAAUUUAUCAUUUCUAUUACAAACCAGUGUCUCUAUUAUCUCUAUAGAUACCGGAGUAAAAACACGAAUCAAUACCAGCCCUAAGUGAUUACUAAUCAGUUAUUUACGACCGGUGGAUAUAUCUCUACACACUCUACACGAGUUAGUAUUUUAUGAGAUUACUUUUUGCCCGAGGAAUAGUAAUCAAUAAAUAUUGAAUAAUUCAAUGAUGGAAGAUGAAGAAAUUGAAUGAAUUGAUAUCCAACAAUGAGUGAAAUUAUCUCAAUAGAAAUACAACCCUGAGUGUGGCGUUUUGACACAUAACAAUGAAUUUGUUACCAAUUGAAAACGAUAUAAUUGACACUUAAAUGGUCGGAUUCACUCGAUCAGCUUUUGCCUAUUCUACUUUCAGAACUAAUCGAAAUUAACUAUUAUUGAAAUUAUAUUAUAUUUGUAAUACAAUCUUUCAGUUUAUUUUA